rnacentral:rRNA from 1 species
GUGAGGAAUAUUGGUCAAUGGGCGGGAGCCUGAACCAGCCAAGUCGCGUGAAGGAAGAAGGAUCUAUGGUUCGUAAACUUCUUUUGCAGGGGAAUAAAGUGCAGGACGUGUCCUGUUUUGUAUGUACCCUGAGAAUAAGGAUCGGCUAACUCCGUGCCAGCAGCCGCGGUAAUACGGAGGAUCCGAGCGUUAUCCGGAUUUAUUGGGUUUAAAGGGUGCGUAGGUGGUUUGAUAAGUCAGCGGUGAAAGUUUGCAGCUUAACUGUAAAAAUGCCGUUGAAACUGUCGGACUUGAGUGUAAAUGAGGUAGGCGGAAUGCGUGGUGUAGCGGUGAAAUGCAUAGAUAUCACGCAGAACUCCGAUUGCGAAGGCAGCUUACUAAGCUACAACUGACACUGAAGCACGAAAGCGUGGGGAGCAAACAGGAUUAGAAACCCCGGUAGUCC